AUCCAUCCCAGCUUCUGCUGAGCCUACCACAUCUCUGCCUGCUUCAAAGAUUUCCACACAUGCUGCAUGGACAGCCUCAGACAUCUUUAAGCUUACUGUUGAAGAGAUGCCAGACAUAUUCGCUGAUGAGCUGAACAGGGCCAUACCUGCUCCAGGCCAGAGACUUCAUCAGGCAACAGCACGCACAUGCUCAUCAUUCCACUGGCAAAUGGAAGCUCCAGGAUCUUCACUUUCUCAGAAGUCACCGUGGCCACUUUAAAUGAACCAACCUGGUACAUCAUCUGCACAGGUAACAAUUCAACCUUCCUCUAUGAAAGAAGUGAGAGCUGUAGGAAACUCAUGUGAUGAAGAGCCACUGGAAUGCAUUGUUCUUUUGGAGAAUCCUACUACUAACAAUGAUAAAAUUCAAACUAAAAUCCAGUUUCAAGAUUUCUGGCCAGUGCAUUUGUUUAACACUGUGGGAGUUGGAGGUGAUGGCAGCUUUAGAGAAAGCUUUUGCCUCUGAUCUAUGCAAGUUCCAAGGUAGACCAUGGCCAGAGCUGAAAUGAUGCUCAAGGGGGAGUAGAAGAUGUUCUCAUUGACAUGCUGGACUUUCAGCUCCCUGAAGACAUCAAAACAAAAUUCCGUGCUUGCUGCACCGAUGGAGCCCAUUG